AUUGAACGCUGGCGGAAUGCUUUACACAUGCAAGUCGAACGGCAGCACGGGGGCAACCCUGGUGGCGAGUGGCGAACGGGUGAGGAAUACAUCGGAACGUGCCCGGUCGUGGGGGAUAACGUAGCGAAAGUUACGCUAAUACCGCAUACGAUCUGAGGAUGAAAGCGGGGGACCUUCGGGCCUCGCGCGAUCGGAGCGGCCGAUGUCAGAUUAGGUAGUUGGUGGGGUAAAGGCCUACCAAGCCGACGAUCUGUAGCUGGUCUGAGAGGACGACCAGCCACACUGGGACUGAGACACGGCCCAGACUCCUACGGGAGGCAGCAGUGGGGAAUUUUGGACAAUGGGCGCAAGCCUGAUCCAGCCAUUCCGCGUGCAGGACGAAGGCCUUCGGGUUGUAAACUGCUUUUGUAUGGAACGAAAAGGCUCUGGCUAAUACCUGGGGCUCAUGACGGUACCGUAAGAAUAAGCACCGGCUAACUACGUG
rnacentral:rRNA from 1 species